rnacentral:rRNA from 1 species
UACAGAGGGUGCAAGCGUUUAAUCGGAAUUACUGGGCGUAAAGCGUGCGUAGACGGUUAUGUAAGUCGGGUGUGAAAGCCCCGGGCUCAAACCCUGGGGAAUGCCAUUCGAGACUGCAUAGCUAGGGUGCGGAAGAGGGAAGCGGAAUUUCCGGUGUAGCGGUGAAAUGCGUAGAUAUCGGAAGGAACACCAGUGGCGAAAGCGGCUUCCUGGUCCAGCACCGACGUCAGGCACGAAAGCGUGGGGAGCAAACAGG